GAUGAACGCUGGCGGCGUGCCUAAUACAUGCAAGUCGAGCGAACAGAGGGGGAGCGUGCGCCUCUGACGGGAGCGGCGGACGGGGGAGGAACACGUGGAUAGCCGACCUAUAAGACUGGGAUAACUUCGGGGAACCGGAGCUAAUACCGGAUAAUAUAUUGAACCGCAUGGUUCAAUAGUGAAAGACGGUUUUGCUGUCACUUAUAGAUGGAUCCGCGCCGCAUUAGCUAGUUGGUAAGGUAACGGCUUACCAAGGCAACGAUGCGUAGCCGACCUGAGAGGGUGAUCGGCCACACUGGAACUGAGACACGGUCCAGACUCCUACGGGAGGCAGCAGUAGGGAAUCUUCCGCAAUGGGCGAAAGCCUGACGGAGCAACGCCGCGUGAGUGAUGAAGGUCUUCGGAUCGUAAAACUCUGUUAUUAGGGAAGAACAAAUGUGUAAGUAACUAUGCACGUCUUGACGGUACCUAAUCAGAAAGCCACGGCUAACUACGUG
rnacentral:rRNA from 1 species